rnacentral:lncRNA from 1 species
AAAAGGUCUAUUUUCCUCAUCCUAGUGAAAGUUUUUCUAUGUAUAACACAAAUUCCAGAAUAUAUCAAGAGAAAAAAUGUGUUAUAUUUCACCACAUAAGAUCUAAAUGCAUACUACAGUUAGAGCAGCCUUUUUCAUGCUGCUAUGCAGCCAAAUUAUGAACUCAGAAAGGAAACAGACACAAAAACAUUACAUGACAAUUUACUGGAGCCCUAUCCCCUAGAUAGUGAAAAGCAGAAUAGAUUUGGCCUCUCUAGCUUACUAGACAUGACUGUGAUAUUCAAGAAACUGCAACAAUACAGAGACAAACUUUGGUUAAAAAAAUAUGGUUGUAAUCAGUACACAAUCAUGGGGUACCAUUUCCCUCUUGGAGAGAGUCUAGAGUUCACACAUUCCCUUGAUUCAGUUCACAUAUACUGUGUAAAGUUCUCACACAUAUUGCUUUUUCCCCUUUCCCCACUUAAACAUUGAAUAAUUUUGAGUGAUGCUGAUGUCUAUGUUAAAUGAGGUAGAUCACACAUGGUUCUACGAAUAAUAAUGAUAUCUGAAAGGAAAUAUCCUUGACUUGACCAUCUAGUAAUACCUAAUUUUCCUCACUGAGGGACCCUGAAGUUGUGUGGCUUCACAAAGUAAUUCAGGAUAAGAGACACAUUAGUCAGACAAGGAAAGUUCUAUGACCACUAACAUUUUAUGCCAUUUUAGAU